rnacentral:lncRNA from 1 species
AGGAAGCUUCAUAACAUCAUCAACUGGAGUGACAUUGAUUAAGAUCUGCUUGCACUUGUGCUGAGGAAAAUCUAUAGCUGCCAGGCUUCGUCAAUAUCUUGGAAGAAGGAAGCACCCUUGUAUCCAGUUUCAGCAAUGAACACAUCUUCUCCUAAAGGAAGACAAUACAAUCAGACGAUUCUUAAUCAAUGCCAAACACAUCUCCUCACCAGGUAAGUCACUUUAAUGGCCCCUCACAUACAUCACAUUAAUCGUUGUUUCUACAGUUCCACAAGCAAUAGACAAAAGGGACACAAAUGAUCUUUAGACUCAAACUAUUUGCCACCAUCUUUGUGUUACUGCAACUGCAAGCACACGCCUGACUACCUAAGAUCUCAUUUCCUCCAUUUUCAACAUAUACAUUCUCACAUCAGGAACAAAUCUGCACCGUCAUUAAAUAGCUUGGUUAACUAAUCCGAGCAGAUAUUUGACAGAGUAAAACAAAAAUGAAUAAUCUGAAAGCUAGCACGAUUUAC